UACGUAGGGUGCAGGCGUUAAUCGGAAUUACUGGGCGUAAAGCGUGCGCAGGCGGUUUGCUAAGACAGGUGUGAAAUCCCCGGGCUUAACCUGGGAACUGCGCUUGUAACUGGCAAGCUAGAGUGUGGCAGAGGGGGGUGGAAUUCCACGUGUAGCAGUGAAAUGCGUAGAGAUGUGGAGGAACACCAAUGGCGAAGGCAGCCCCCUGGGCUAACACUGACGCUCAUGCACGAAAGCGUGGGGAGCAAACAGG
rnacentral:rRNA from 1 species